ACUCCUACGGGAGGCAGCAGUGGGGAAUAUUGCACAAUGGGCGCAAGCCUGAUGCAGCCAUGCCGCGUGUGUGAAGAAGGCCUUCGGGUUGUAAAGCACUUUCAGUCGUGAGGAAGGUAGUGUAGUUAAUAGCUGCAUUAUUUGACGUUAGCGACAGAAGAAGCACCGGCUAACUCCGUGCCAGCAGCCGCGGUAAUACGGAGGUGCGAGCGUUAAUCGGAAUUACUGGGCGUAAAGCGCAUGCAGGUGGUUUGUUAAGUCAGAUGUGAAAGCCCGGGGCUCAACCUCGGAAUAGCAUUUGAAACUGGCAGGACUAGAGUACUGGUAGAGGGGGGUAGAAUUUCGAGGUGUAGCGGUGAAAGUGCGUAGAGAGU
rnacentral:rRNA from 1 species